rnacentral:rRNA from 1 species
CUGCAGUCGAACGAUGAUGCCCAGCUUGCUGGGCGGAUUAGUGGCGAACGGGUGAGUAAUACGUGAGUAACCUGCCCUUGACUCUGGGAUAAGCCUGGGAAACUGGGUCUAAUACUGGAUACUACCGUCCACCGCAUGGUGGGUGGUGGAAAGGGUUUUACUGGUUUUGGAUGGGCUCACGGCCUAUCAGCUUGUUGGUGGGGUAAUGGCUCACCAAGGCGACGACGGGUAGCCGGCCUGAGAGGGUGACCGGCCACACUGGGACUGAGACACGGCCCAGACUCCUACGGGAGGCAGCAGUGGGGAAUAUUGCACAAUGGGCGGAAGCCUGAUGCAGCGACGCCGCGUGAGGGAUGACGGCCUUCGGGUUGUAAACCUCUUUCAGUAGGGAAGAAGCGAAAGUGACGGUACCUGCAGAAGAAGCGCCGGCUAACUACGUGCCAGCAGCCGCGGUAAUACGUAGGGCGCAAGCGUUGUCCGGAAUUGUUGGGCGUAAAGAGCUCGUAGGCGGUUUGUCGCGUCUGCUGUGAAAGCCCGGGGCUCAACCCCGGGUCUGCAGUGGGUACGGGCAGACUAGAGUGCAGUAGGGGAGACUGGAAUUCCUGGUGUAGCGGUGAAAUGCGCAGAUAUCAGAGGAACACCGAUGGCGAAGGCAGGUCUCUGGGCUGUUACUGACGCUGAGGAGCGAAAGCAUGGGGAGCGAACAGGAUUAGAUACCCUGGUAGUCCAUGCCGUAAACGUUGGGCACUAGGUGUGGGGGACAUUCCACGUUUUCCGCGCCGUAGCUAACGCAUUAAGUGCCCCGCCUGGGGAGUACGGCCGCAAGGCUAAAACUCAAAGGAAUUGACGGGGGCCCGCACAAGCGGCGGAGCAUGCGGAUUAAUUCGAUGCAACGCGAAGAACCUUACCAAGGCUUGACAUUCACCGGACCGCCCCAGAGAUGGGGUUUCCCUUCGGGGCUGGUGGACAGGUGGUGCAUGGUUGUCGUCAGCUCGUGUCGUGAGAUGUUGGGUUAAGUCCCGCAACGAGCGCAACCCUCGUUCUAUGUUGCCAGCACGUGAUGGUGGGGACUCAUAGGAGACUGCCGGGGUCAACUCGGAGGAAGGUGGGGAUGACGUCAAAUCAUCAUGCCCCUUAUGUCUUGGGCUUCACGCAUGCUACAAUGGCCGGUACAAAGGGUUGCGAUACUGUGAGGUGGAGCUAAUCCCAAAAAGCCGGUCUCAGUUCGGAUUGAGGUCUGCAACUCGACCUCAUGAAGUCGGAGUCGCUAGUAAUCGCAGAUCAGCAACGCUGCGGUGAAUACGUUCCCGGGCCUUGUACACACCGCCCGUCAAGUCACGAAAGUUGGUAACACCCGAAGCCGGUGGCCUAACCCC